UACGGGGGGGGCAAGCGUUGUUCGGAAUUACUGGGCGUAAAGGGCUCGUAGGUGGCCAACUAAGUCGGACGUGAAAUCCCUCAGCUUAACUGGGGAACUGCGUCCGAUACUGGAUGGCUUGAAUCCGGGAGAGGGAUGCGGAAUUCCAGGUGUAGCGGUGAAAUGCGUAGAUAUCUGGAGGAACACCGGUGGCGAAGGCGGCAUCCUGGACCGGCAUUGACGCUGAGGAGCGAAAGCCAGGGGAGCAAACGGG
rnacentral:rRNA from 1 species